AGAAUAUUAGAUAACAAGACAAAUAAAUUUUUAAAUAUAAAAUGCAACCAAGCUGUGCCAUUUGUGAAUUGCUAAAAAUCAAUAUACAUGCCAUUAAGUACACACAAAGACCUACUCACACAAGUUGCAAAAAAUAUAUCUUUCCAAAUUUAAUUGUGUUUAAAGCGUUAACAAAUUAAUGUGAACAAUUUACAUCAUGCUAAUUUAAGAAUAAAAUCAAUGUAGACACUGCACACGUUUCGCCUACACAGCUCAACUUCAGUGCUCGUUGAGGAACAAAUGUAUGUGAAAUAUAUCAAACAUGAUCUAAGAGUACCUUGAGCACAUCUGCAGCAGCUAAAAUCUGUUGGCCAUGGCAGAUGGAUGCAACUAGCUUCUUGCUUUCCAUAAAAUGCUUCACUAA